UACGUAGGGUGCGAGCGUUAAUCGGAAUUACUGGGCGUAAAGCGCACGUAGGCGGGUCGUUAAGUCAGGGGUGAAAUCCCGGAGCUCAACUCCGGAACUGCCUUUGAUACUGGCGAUCUAGAGGUCGAGAGAGGUGAGUGGAAUUCCGAGUGUAGAGGUGAAAUUCGUAGAUAUUGGGAGGAACACCAGUGGCGAAGGCGGCUCACUGGACCGGUUCUGACGCUGAGGCACGAAAGCGUGGGGAGCAAACAGG
rnacentral:rRNA from 1 species